UGUGUGGAGUUUGCAUGUUCUGUCCGUGCAUGCGUGGGUUUUCUCCGGCUUCCUCCCACCGCCCCAAAACAUGCUUCAUAGGUUAAUCGGUUACUUUAAAUAGUCCCUGGGUGUGAAUGUGAGUGCGCAUGGGAUGGGUGUGUGACAUGACUCAUUUAAUUUUUGUAUCCAUUGCAGUUUUGGUCAAAUUUGAUCAAAAGAAAACAACCUACAAGCGCUAAAACAUUUUUUCGAUAAAGGCGAGGAAAUGUGGUGUUGGCAAAUUUAUCAUCGCAAAUCCAAAUUGAUCAAUUUUAUAGUCAAUAGAAACACAACUUUUGAAGCGAAACUGUGAGUUUAUGACUGAGGUUCAUGGAGCUGAGGGUUCUGCACAGAAUGUUCAAAGAUAGAAAGAAAGUUUACUCGCCCUAAAAUCUUCAGUGCCAGAUUGUGAAGAGCAUCUUUUUCAAAGGAUGGGAACAAAAAUACUUUCUAUGAAUCAAAUAUUUGCCCAUUUAAUCUCGUUAACUAUUUUGCAUCAUCUUUAGUUUAUCUAAACAUCAUCUGAUCAACAUCUGUGUUCCUAAAAUGAACUCAUUUCCCAAUCUCAAUUUCAUUUUUUUUACUUUCCGCUUGGCGGGUUUUUGGAGCGGCACAGGAAAAUAUGGAAUGAAAACAACCAAAGACCUGCAGCCCCAUCAGAAAAUCCUGUCGGCUCAAAACCCAGAAAACAACAAUUUGGAAGGUGACCACAAACACCAGAUGGAGGACCACGAGCUGCAGCGCUGAGAGGAGCACACGGUGUGGGAAGGACAGCAAGUCAUCAAACUGGGUUCCAGAGACACUAAGGAACUGCUGGAAAUGCAGCUCCUGCACUACAAGGGCAUAGUUUCUGCAGAGCGGCAGGAGUUCAUCAGGAAUUCACCUCCAAGUUGUCUAUGGAGCUGAGUAAGCCCGCCCACACUUCCAGUCAUCCAACCCCAUCACAACUCCAACAUACCAUUACCGGUUCAACAGAAAUGGUGAGCAAUGUCGUAGCUAUCCAGCCGUUCAGUUUUGAUCCAGAUUCCAGCUUAGACG